rnacentral:rRNA from 1 species
UGGGGAAUAUUGCACAAUGGGCGCAAGCCUGAUGCAGCCAUGCCGCGUGUGUGAAGAAGGCCUUCGGGUUGUAAAGCACUUUCAGCGAGGAGGAAGGUGGUGAGCUUAAUACGCUCAUCAAUUGACGUUACUCGCAGAAGAAGCACCGGCUAACUCCGUGCCAGCAGCCGCGGUAAUACGGAGGGUGCAAGCGUUAAUCGGAAUUACUGGGCGUAAAGCGCACGCAGGCGGUUUGUUAAGUCAGAUGUGAAAUCCCCGGGCUCAACCUGGGAACUGCAUUUGAAACUGGCAAGCUAGAGUCUCGUAGAGGGGGGUAGAAUUCCAGGUGUAGCGGUGAAAUGCGUAGAGAUCUGGAGGAAUACCGGUGGCGAAGGCGGCCCCCUGGACGAAGACUGACGCUCAGGUGCGAAAAGCGUGGGGAGCAAAACAGGAUUAGAUACCCUGGUAGUCCACGCUGUAAAACGAUGUCGAUUUUGGAGGUUGUGCCCUUGAGGCGUGGCUUCCGGAGCUAACGCGUUAAA